rnacentral:rRNA from 1 species
AGCGAACGCUGGCGGCAGGCCUAACACAUGCAAGUCGAACGAAGUCUUCGGACUUAGUGGCGGACGGGUGAGUAACACGUGGGAAGGGGCCUUUAGGUUCGGAAUAACUCAGGGAAACUUGUGCUAAUACCGAAUGGGCCCUUCGGGGGAAAGAUUUAUCGCCUUUAGAGCGGCCCGCGUCUGAUUAGCUAGUUGGUGAGGUAAAGGCUCACCAAGGCGACGAUCAGUAGCUGGUCUGAGAGGAUGAUCAGCCACAUUGGGACUGAGACACGGCCCAAACUCCUACGGGAGGCAGCAGUGGGGAAUCUUGCGCAGUGGGCGAAAGCCUGACGCAGCCAUGCCGCGUGAAUGAUGAAGGUCUUAGGAUUGUAAAAUCCUUUCACCGGGGACGAUAAUGACGGUACCCGGAGAAGAAGCCCCGGCUAACUUCGUGCCAGCCGCCGCAGUAAAAC